CGAUGCAACGCGAAGAACUUACCUGGGCUUGACAUCCCGGGAAUCCCUUGGAAACAAGGGAGUGCCCUUCGGGGAACCUGGAGACAGGUGCUGCAUGGCUGUCGUCAGCUCGUGUCGUGAGAUGUAGGGUUAAGUCCCGCAACGAGCGCAACCCCUAUUGUUAGUUGCCAUCAUUCAGUUGGGCACUCUAGCGAGACUGCCGGUAAUAAACCGGAGGAAGUGGGGAUGACGUCAAAUCAUCAUGCCCCUUAUGACCUGGGCUACACACGUGCUACAAUGGUUGGUACAACGAGUUGCGAGUCGGUGACGGCGAGCUAAUCUCUUAAAGCCAAUCUCAGUUCGGAUUGUAGGCUGCAACUCGCCUACAUGAAGUCGGAAUCGCUAGUAAUCGCGGAUCAGCACGCCGCGGUGAAUACGUUCCCGGGCCUU
rnacentral:rRNA from 1 species